UGAAUCAGCAAGUGAAGAUAAUCGAAUAUGUACAAACUUGUAACUCUUCUUAUGUAGAAGAGAUGAUUAUGCCGGAUCUAGUGCUUUGCGAGAUUCUGCCUCAACCGACAACAACCAAUACCGCAGACUGCAACAGCUGCAGUGCCCUACUGUCGCGGGUGGUGGAGCUGGAUGCUAAGAUUUCCGCUCAGGAGCAGCGCGUCGCGCGGCUGGAACAGUUGGAGGCUAAAGUCUGCGUUCAACACGAGUUGGAGAAACGUAUCGCGUGGCUGGAGGAGCAAAUUUCCACUCAGCAGACGAUGUUUUCGACGCCACCAGUCGCAAUGCAAGUGCAAGUCAUCGCCGUCCCUGCUUCAUCCGACCCGCAGCUCCCUGCUUCCAAUUCAGAUGGGCUUCCCCAGCUUCCGGUGCGCUGCCUGGAGCAGCUCAUGAAUUUGGAAGCAGCAUCACCACAAUGCUUCCCACAAGUGCUAAAUUACAUGCUGUCAAAAACACAACCCAGCCCAAAAAUGAAGGGUGACAAAGUUUUGAAAAAAAUAGUUGAUUUCUAUUUUGACCGGCAGUUUUUGAAUACAUGUGUGUGGAUAUGGCAGAGAGCCAAAAGACCCAUUGUAUUGUCGAAGUAUAAAAAAACCUUGCGGGUGCUGUAUAAGGUAACGCAGCAUUACGACGACACCUAUGAGUAUAAGGAGUUCGAAAGGAAAAUGUCCUUAUACGUCAAACACUCGCAGUUUAGAUGCAAAACCGAACCUCGGCGAUAUUUGUAACAAAAAUAACAACACUCCAACACACCCAAAAACUGUGGGUGCCUUCCCUAACACGCAAAGACAGAGAGUUUCUGGUGUGGCUGCAACUUUGACAAUACCCGAUGCCUGAUGACUCACUCUUGGACUGCCAGUUUGCACCAGUAUUCUGAACGAGAUCAGCCCCGGUGCC